rnacentral:rRNA from 1 species
UACGUAGGGCGCAAGCGUUGUCCGGAAUUAUUGGGCGUAAAGAGCGUGUAGGCGGCUUUACAGGUCCGUUGUAAAAACUCGAGGCUCAACCUCGAGACGCCGGUGGAAACCGUAAAGCUAGAGUCCGGAAGAGGAGAGUGGAAUUCCUGGUGUAGCGGUGAAAUGCGCAGAUAUCAGGAGGAACACCCGUGGCGAAAGCGGCUCUCUGGGACGGUACUGACGCUGAGACGCGAAAGCGUGGGGAGCAAACAGG